rnacentral:rRNA from 1 species
UUGAACGCUGGCGGCAUGCCUUACACAUGCAAGUCGAACGGUAACAGGUCUUCGGAUGCUGACGAGUGGCGAACGGGUGAGUAAUACAUCGGAACGUGCCCAGACGUGGGGGAUAACGAGGCGAAAGCUUUGCUAAUACCGCAUACGAUCUAAGGAUGAAAGCAGGGGGCCGCAAGGCCUUGCGCGUUUGGAGCGGCCGAUGGCAGAUUAGGUAGUUGGUGGGAUAAAAGCUUACCAAGCCGACGAUCUGUAGCUGGUCUGAGAGGACGACCAGCCACACUGGGACUGAGACACGGCCCAGACUCCUACGGGAGGCAGCAGUGGGGAAUUUUGGACAAUGGGCGAAAGCCUGAUCCAGCAAUGCCGCGUGCAGGAUGAAGGCCUUCGGGUUGUAAACUGCUUUUGUACGGAACGAAAAGGCUCUGGCUAAUACCUGGGGCACAUGACGGUACCGUAAGAAUAAGCACCGGCUAACUACGUG